rnacentral:rRNA from 1 species
GAUCAUGGCUCAGGAUAAACGCUGGCGGCGCACAUAAGACAUGCAAGUCGAACGGAAGUCGUUAUAAAAGGAGAGAAGAUUUGUCGGAUUGAAUUUUAUAACAAUGGCUUUAGUGGCGGACUGGUGAGUAACGCGUAAGGAACCUACCUAUUAGAGGGGAACAACAAUGAGAAAUCAUUGCUAAUACCGCAUAUGCCAUAACUACCGCAUGGUAGAAGUGGGGAAAAGGAGUAAUCCGCUG